rnacentral:lncRNA from 1 species
GAAAAGGAAGCAUACUUGUAUUACAUAUUUUGCAAAGUCAAAAAUCGGAUCCAAGGAGAAAACAAGUCAUACAAUCAGAUCAAGAUGUGCAUGUGUGUGAAUAUGUGGAUGGUGGAUAGAAGAUGUAUGGAAACUUCUUUUUAUAUGAUCUCUCUCCCUUUGAAAAUAUUUUGUACAUGGCUACCUUUAUUUUUCAUAUACUUGGAUCUUCAUGUGUCCAGCUCCUCUCUUUUUUUACUUGGACCUUCAUGUGUCCAUUUUUCUUUCUUUCUUUCUUUCAUUUUUUUUCAAUAGCCCAUGUCUCUUUUGUAACGAUAGCUGGAGAGAUAGAUCAACAUAUAUAGUGAAGCAUUUAUUUUGUGGAAUGGAUGGAUGGUAUAUUUUGCGCAACUUCUAGUGUAGAAGUCAGCAUAUAAAGGUGGAGUGUACGUGAUCUUUGAUCAUGAAAGUAUGAAAAGUUUCUCACACGGGUCACAACAGUUUGAUAAAGCUCAAUGCAAAUAUAAGUAGUAUAUGGAUAAGGUUUCCAAUGAGAUUAACAUAUGGCUUUGGUAGGAAUUUAACAUCAUAUCAUUGAGGAGUCAAACUAUAUAUUUUUUGCAUGAUAAAAUUCCCAAGUACUUUGCUGGAAGAAGUAAGGUUUCUGUCAU